GACGAACGCUGGCGGCGUGCUUAACACAUGCAAGUCGAACGGAAAGGCCCUGCUUGCAGGGUACUCGAGUGGCGAACGGGUGAGUAACACGUGGGUGAUCUGCCCUGCACUUCGGGAUAAGCCUGGGAAACUGGGUCUAAUACCGGAUAGGAGCCAUUUUUAGUGUGAUGGUUGGAAAGUUUUUUUCGGUGUAGGAUGAGCUCGCGGCCUAUCAGCUUGUUGGUGGGGUAAUGGCCUACCAAGGCGGCGACGGGUAGCCGGCCUGAGAGGGUGGACGGCCACAUUUGGGCUUGGGAACGGGCCCGACUCCUACGGGAGGCAGCAGUGGGGAAUAUUGCACAAUGGGCGCAAGCCUGAUGCAGCGACGCCGCGUGGGGGAUGACGGCCUUCGGGUUGUAAACUCCUUUCGCUAGGGACGAAGCUUUUUGUGACGGUACCUAGAGAAGAAGCACCGGCUAACUACGUG
rnacentral:rRNA from 1 species